GUGAGAUUCAAUUUAUUGUAGGAUCAGGGUUAGCCUAGUCCUUAGGGAAAUAUGGAUGCAAUGUGUCUGGGAUUGAUCAGGAUAUGGUGUAUAAGGCCUCCAUGUUUGUUCAUCCGUCCAGAUGAGAGUAAUAUUUACUUGUAGAGAAAAUUGAAUCUCACUGAACAAAUUAUCUUUCCAGUAUGAAGCACAAGCUGUUUGGCAACAGAAAAGCAACAAUCUCACGACGAAGAGCUUCGAUUGCCCUCAAAUUCUCUUCUUAUAAUUUCAAGCACAAAUUCAUUCCAUGUAUCAACAGGACCAGGCAUGCACCAGUG
rnacentral:misc_RNA from 1 species